GUGCUCGCUUUGGCAGCACAUAUACUAAAAUUGAAAAGACACAAAGAAGAUUAGCAUGACCUCUGUACAAGGAUGACAUGCAAAUUUGUGACGUGUUCCAUUUAAAA
ensembl:snRNA U6 U6 spliceosomal RNA